AACGAACGCUGGCGGCAUGCCUAACACAUGCAAGUCGAACGAGACCUUCGGGUCUAGUGGCGCACGGGUGCGUAACGCGUGGGAACCUGCCCUUAGGUUCGGAAUAACUCCCCGAAAGGGGUGCUAAUACCGGAUAAUGUCUUCGGACCAAAGAUUUAUCGCCUUUGGAUGGGCCCGCGUUGGAUUAGCUAGUUGGUAGGGAAAAAGCCUACCAAGGCGACGAUCCAUAGCUGGUCUGAGAGGAUGAUCAGCCACACUGGGACUGAGACACGGCCCAGACUCCUACGGGAAGCAGCAGUGGGGAAUAUUGGACAAUGGGCGAAAGCCUGAUCCAGCAAUGCCGCGUGAGUGAUGAAGGCCUUAGGGUUGUAAAGCUCUUUUACCCGGGAUGAUAAUGACAGUACCGUGAGAAUAAGCUCCGGCUAACUCCGUG
rnacentral:rRNA from 1 species